CAUAAUCCUAUUAUCUGGAAUAAUAUGGAAAGAAUCAUAGAAUCUUAACCAUCAGGGCAUUGGCCCUAAACUGUGAUGCUCCAUUGGAUGAUAAAAUUGGAGCAGAGUCUCGGAAUUGGAGAGCUGGUGGUGAAAUACUGGCCAGAGAUUUCAUCAAGCCAUGGAUUCUUGGUUUGGCGCUAUCUUUUAAGAAGAGAUGAUGUUGAACCUGCUCCUUGGACCUCUGAAGGAAUAGAACGGUCAAGGAGAUUAUGUUUAC
rnacentral:sRNA from 1 species